rnacentral:rRNA from 1 species
GGGUAAGAACCUCACCUAUCUUGAUAUGUAGGUGGGGUUGUGAUAUAUUGUGCCCAGUGGGCCACUUUUGGUAAGCAGAACUGGCGCUGUGGGAUGAACCAAACGCAAUGUUACGGUGCCAAAAUUUACAACUCAUGCAGAUACCAUGAAAGGCGUUGCUUGCUUAAAACAGCAGGACGGUGGACAUGGAAGUCGUAAUCCGCUAAGGAGUGUGUAACAACUCACCUGCCGAAGCAACUAGCCCUUAAAAUGGAUGGCGCUUAAGUUGUAUACCUAUACAUUGCCGCUAAUGUAGAUGGUUUAUAUGGAAUUUCGGUUUCAUAUAAAUUUUGAAACAUUAGUGAGUAGGAGGGUACAAUGGUGUGCCUAGAAGUGUUUGG